ACUAAAAUUAGAAACACUUUAAUUUGAAUUUUAUAGUAAAGCUUAAUGGCAUUUAUAAUUUUGAAAAAACUGAAGGGAUUUUCAUCAUUGUUCCCCUUCUUCUGCAACCUUGAAAUCUCCUAAGACUGUUGUGUCUCUGGAGGAUGAGGUGUCGACCUUUACAGUCCAAAUCCAGGUGACUGUGGUUGCUAGCUUGCUUUGUCUUAUUUAAAAUGGACCGUUUCUAGUUUCUAUUUCAAAAGAAAUAGACCAUAGAUAUAAGGAAAUGCACGUGUAGGGGGUCCAGUCUAUACUCCCAUACGGAAGAUAGUCAUGGUGGGUUAGUCUUCGAGACAGGAAAAAUACAAAGUGUAUGAUACCUUUCCCUUAGCAGGACCAGACUUCAGUCAUUUCAGUGGCUUAUGAGAAUCUGAGAGUCAUUUCUUAAAGGAUCUGAUUUCUUUUUUACUUUUCUUUUUUGUUUUAUUUUCUGUUUUUUGAGAUGGUUUCUCUAUGAAGCCCUGCCUGUCCUGGAACUUGUUUUGUAGACCAGGCUGGCCUCGAACUCAGAGAUCUGCCUGCCUCUGCCUCCCAAGGGGAUCAAAGGUGUGCACCACUACCACCAGGCCAAGGAUUCAAUUUCUUAAAGUAUCUUUUUCUUCAAAGAAAUCCAUGAAGGAAAGCAGUAGACAGUAAAUUCAAUCAUUGCAUUUAUUUUUACUGGUGUUUUGAUUUUUUUUUUACUUUUUCACAAACACAGAUUACAUAUGCAUUUAUUUUUGAAAUUGAAUUUCAGAGAGCACAGUUCAUCUUACCAGAUUCAUUUAAGGCAAAGUCAGUAAGGAAGUUUUUCUCCUCUAUCAUAAAUAUGGAUUUACCAUGAGGCAUGGCUUCCUUGAUUUCUCAAGCUCGUUUCUCGUGCCUCCUAAAUUCCUACUUUUCUUUUAUGCUAUCUUUCUAGCCCACAAUGCAGACUCUCUCUGCAGGUUCAGCCAGGCCUCCUCGAGACAAAAGGCUCUUGAAAAAAGAUACCCUAACACUUCCGUACCGGAUGCUCCAACUUCACACACACACACACACACACACACACACACACACACACACACACACACACACACACCAUACAGGAGUGUGGUAUGCUUUGGCAGAGAAACACAGUAAUUUUCCAAAUGGCCAGAGGAAGAGUGACUCACGAAUCCCAGACCAUGUGUUGCACACUGCAGUCCAGCCUGUCUAUGGCAUGCUGAUGUAAGUAGGUCUGCAAACAUCAUGAUACUGGAGAAAUGUAGGCUGAAUGAGUUAGUGGAGCGCAGAAACAGUAUUUCUCCCUCUGCCUCUCCUUAUUUGCACAAUACCAUCUAAUUUUUUUAAACAACCCAAAUCAUUGUAGGCCUCAAGUAGUACAAGAGUAGUUUUCAGACUCUGAGAGCCAUGUACAUCUGCAGUUCCAUGAGGGAACAGCCCCUCCUGGGGAGGCUCUCUUAAAGUCACUGAUCCCUUCAUUCAUCAUGUACAUAUGGAGAGUAAAACCUUAAUGACCAGCUGAAACCCAGAUUUCUGCCACCCAGAAGGCUAACACUUGUUCUCCCAUUGCUUGGAAGAGAUUUAUGACAGUCAUGAAGUUGACCUAGACAUGCUUCUGGGUUCUGAUGCUGCAAGCCCUAAAAACAAUUACAUUCCUACCGAAUUCUGAGGUUAUUUAUAAGACAGAGUCAAAUGAAGUGCUCUAGAGAGACAUCAACAACAUUCUUCUAUUGAGAGGUAUGUUCAGCAUGGAUAGAGUUUGUGAGCUCAUUGCCCAGAAGACUUUAAUUUCCUGCUGAAAAGUGCAUUUUGAUUAAAGACAUGGAACAGACACAUCCUGUGUACACUCCCUACAAGGAGACUUGACCCACCGAUUGGAGGCAAUUCAAUGACAAAGUUUGAAAAAUGGAUCUCAAGGGGCUCGGAUUGUUCAAGGUUAUCACAAAUGUACUACUUGAUCAGAGAUUUUUUUUUUUAAUUGUAGAUAACACAGAACGCAGGAAAAGUGGGAAGCCAGGCACAAGGCUAUUCAAUAUUUGGGGGCUGCCUCUGAAGGGGAGGAGAGCCAUAUGGCAGGAGGAUCCUCCCCCUAGACCAAUCAACAUGUCCUCAGCAUUCUGCCCCCUUCAGCCACAGCUUGUUCCCAGCGUCCUUCCUCCAUGAAUCAUGAGCAAUCCCAAGACAGGCAGGAUGGGAGCUGAAGACCACCAAGAGCUAACCCUUCUGGCAGAGAGAUGCUCUUCAGUUCUCAGACGACAGUGCCCAGGAUGCACAGACAGAACCCUGGUGCAUUCUUUGAGACAUACUCAGGAGAGUUGUGUCCCCGAAGUCCUGGGCAGCCCUGUCCUCUAGCUGGACUGGAUUUAGCUCCCAUGUCCAUUUCCCUGAACUGGAGUUUCACACUGGUGCCUGU